CAUCAUCUUCCCUCUCACCUACACCUUCAUUACCUCCAAAAGUAUCACAUUCUCCAUGCAAAUCUUGAUUCAUGUCUCUAGGAAAUGCAUCAUUUAAGAUAUCAUAAGAAACAUCAUUGGGUCCCAGUGCCUCUACACCAUUUGGAAGAGUUGCAUCUUGUCUGAGGAACCCAAAAUUUUCUCCGUGAUAUAUCCAUGUGUGAUAAACAGCAGACAUUCCAUACUCCCCACAAAUGUGCAUGGACAGUUUGAAGAGUAUGCCAUCUCGUAUUCAGAC
rnacentral:lncRNA from 1 species